CUGUGAGCUCGAUGAGUAGGGCGGGACACGUGGUAUCCUGUCUGAAUAUGGGGGGACCAUCCUCCAAGGCUAAAUACUCCUGACUGACCGAUAGUGAACCAGUACCGUGAGGGAAAGGCGAAAAGAACCCCGGCGAGGGGAGUGAAAAAGAACCUGAAACCGUGUACGUACAAGCAGUGGGAGCACGCUUAGGCGUGUGACUGCGUACCUUUUGUAUAAUGGGUCAGCGACUUAUAUUCUGUAGCAAGGUUAACCGAAUAGGGGAGCCGAAGGGAAACCGAGUCUUAACUGGGCGUUAAGUUGCAGGGUAUAGACCCGAAACCCGGUGAUCUAGCCAUGGGCAGGUUGAAGGUUGGGUAACACUAACUGGAGGACCGAACCGACUAAUGUUGAAAAAUUAGCGGAUGACUUGUGGCUGGGGGUGAAAGGCCAAUCAAACCGGGAGAUAGCUGGUUCUCCCCGAAAGCUAUUUAGGUAGCGCCUCGUGAAUUCAUCUCCGGGGGUAGAGCACUGUUUCGGCAAGGGGGUCAUCCCGACUUACCAACCCGAUGCAAACUGCGAAUACCGGAGAAUGUUAUCACGGGAGACACACGGCGGGUGCUAACGUCCGUCGUGAAGAGGGAAACAACCCAGACCGCCAGCUAAGGUCCCAAAGUCAUGGUUAAGUGGGAAACGAUGUGGGAAGGCCCAGACAGCCAGGAUGUUGGCUUAGAAGCAGCCAUCAUUUAAAGAAAGCGUAAUAGCUCACUGGUCGAGUCGGCCUGCGCGGAAGAUGUAACGGGGCUAAACCAUGCACCGAAGCUGCGGCAGCGACGCUUAUGCGUUGUUGGGUAGGGGAGCGUUCUGUAAGCCUGUGAAGGUGUGCUGUGAGGCAUGCUGGAGGUAUCAGAAGUGCGAAUGCUGACAUAAGUAACGAUAAAGCGGGUGAAAAGCCCGCUCGCCGGAAGACCAAGGGUUCCUGUCCAACGUUAAUCGGGGCAGGGUGAGUCGACCCCUAAGGCGAGGCCGAAAGGCGUAGUCGAUGGGAAACAGGUUAAUAUUCCUGUACUUGGUGUUACUGCGAAGGGGGGACGGAGAAGGCUAUGUUGGCCGGGCGACGGUUGUCCCGGUUUAAGCGUGUAGGCUGGUUUUCCAGGCAAAUCCGGAAAAUCAAGGCUGAGGCGUGAUGACGAGGCACUACGGUGCUGAAGCAACAAAUGCCCUGCUUCCAGGAAAAGCCUCUAAGCAUCAGGUAACAUCAAAUCGUACCCCAAACCGACACAGGUGGUCAGGUAGAGAAUACCAAGGCGCUUGAGAGAACUCGGGUGAAGGAACUAGGCAAAAUGGUGCCGUAACUUCGGGAGAAGGCACGCUGAUAUGUAGGUGAAGUCCCUCGCGGAUGGAGCUGAAAUCAGUCGAAGAUACCAGCUGGCUGCAACUGUUUAUUAAAAACACAGCACUGUGCAAACACGAAAGUGGACGUAUACGGUGUGACGCCUGCCCGGUGCCGGAAGGUUAAUUGAUGGGGUCAGCGCAAGCGAAGCUCUUGAUCGAAGCCCCGGUAAACGGCGGCCGUAACUAUAACGGUCCUAAGGUAGCGAAAUUCCUUGUCGGGUAAGUUCCGACCUGCACGAAUGGCGUAAUGAUGGCCAGGCUGUCUCCACCCGAGACUCAGUGAAAUUGAACUCGCUGUGAAGAUGCAGUGUACCCGCGGCAAGACGGAAAGACCCCGUGAACCUUUACUAUAGCUUGACACUGAACAUUGAGCCUUGAUGUGUAGGAUAGGUGGGAGGCUU
rnacentral:rRNA from 1 species